rnacentral:rRNA from 1 species
UACGGAGGGUGCGAGCGUUGUCCGGAAUCACUGGGCGUAAAGGGCGCGUAGGCGGCCUGAUAAGUAGGGGGUGAAAUCCUGCGGCUUAACCGCAGGGCUGCCUUCUAAACUGUCAGGCCAGAGCACAGUAGAGGCAGGUGGAAUUCCCGGUGUAGCGGUGGAAUGCGUAGAGAUCGGGAAGAACAUCAGUGGCGAAGGCGGCCUGCUGGGCUGUUGCUGACGCUGAGGCACGAAAGCGUGGGGAGCAAACAGG